CGGCACCCAGGCCGUUCUCUGGCCUGGAGGCGGGUGGGCUUUGCUCCAUCUCACCGGGGGCCUCGUCAUGUACGCACGCACGCACGCACACACACACGCGCACACAUGCACACACACGCACACACACCGAUGGCAUGGACUGCCACUUGAGGGGAAUUCCGAAUGUUGGGGUGGGAGCCAGACGAACCUAAGUGAGCGUAUGUCUGACACCUUCGUUACACCAGAAGGCAGCUGAGAGGGACAGAAAAGGGAAGGGAUUUAUUCGAGGUCCCCCAGGAGACUGGUGCCAGCCAGAUGUGAGCCGAGGGGAUUUAGGCCGGCGGGUCAGAUCUCCGGCCACAGAGCAGGAUCUGGACCCUUCCCGCUCCCAGGGGCCGCCUUCCUGGGAGCUGGCCCCAGAAGCUUCUCCAAACCCCAGAAACGCCCCAGGUCUUUGGACUGUUGUUUGUAAGGGGCCAGAAGGCUCUUCCCAGGGCUGGAAGCUGGGGCCUGUCCCCAGCCAGGCUGGCUGAGGAGUGUUCUGUACUCCAAAGAGAAGAACCGAAGUCGGAUCAAUGAGAGCCUAGGCCCAGGCCCCAGCAGGUCAGUGGACUCUGCUGGUCCAGUCUGCUCUCCAGAGUGACACCUCCACUACCUGCUUCUGGGGGCCGCUGUGAAGGAAAGCCUGGCUGCAGAAGUGAGUCGUCAUCUCCCUGAACUGAGGGUGAUUUUCAUUUCAACGCAUUUCAGACGCCUGGGAAGCUGCCUUCGGACGUGCCCAGGCCUAGAAAUCCUCUCCCAGCUGUAAGUCUGUGAUCCUGUUGCGUAAAGCAAGAUUUUCCAAAAGAUGCUCCUGAGGAGGAACCUCUGGUGUUCUACAUUCAGCAAAUGGCGGAGGG